UACGUAGGGGGCAAGCGUUGUCCGGAUUUAUUGGGCGUAAAGAGCGUGUAGGCGGCUUUACAGGUCCGUUGUGAAAACUCGAGGCUCAACCUCGAGACGCCGGUGGAAACCGUAAGGCUAGAGUCCGGAAGAGGAGAGUGGAAUUCCUGGUGUAGCGGUGAAAUGCGCAGAUAUCAGGAAGAACACCCGUGGCUAAGGCGGCUCUCUAGUACGGUACUGACGCUGAGACGCGAAAGCCAGGGGAGCAAACGGG
rnacentral:rRNA from 1 species